rnacentral:rRNA from 1 species
AGCGAACGCUGGCGGCAGGCCUAAAAAAUGAAAGGCGAAAGAAAAGUGCGGGGGGAGGGGAGGAAGGGGGAGGAACACGUGGGAACGGGCCUUGAGGUUCGGAAGAACUCAGGGAAACGUGUGCUAAGAAAGAAUGUGCCCGGCGGGGGAAAGAUUUAUCGCCGGGAGAGCGGCCCGCGUCUGAUUAGCUAGUUGGUUGAGGUAAUGGCUCACCAAGGCGCCGAUCAGUAGCGGGUCUGAGAGGAUGAUCAGCCACAUGGGGACUGAGACACGGCCCAAACUCCUACGGGAGGCAGCAGUGGGGAAUCUUGCGCAAUGGGCGAAAGCCUGCCGCAGCCAUGCCGCGUGCCUCCUUCCCGUCUUAGGAUUGUAAAAUUCUUUCCCCGUGGCCGAUAAUGACGGUACCCGGAGACGAAGCCCCUCCUCCCUUCGUC